GGACGACGACUGCGGCGUGCUUAACUACAUGCAAGUCGACGGAAAGGACCCUCGCUUGCAGGGUACGUCGAGUGGCGAACGGGUGAGUAACGACUGGGUGAUCUGCCCUUCACUUCGGGAUAAGACCUGGGAAACUAGGGUCUAAUACCGGAUAGGACCAAUCUUUAGUGUGGUUGGUGGAAAGUUUUUUCGGUGGUAGGAUGAGCCCGCGGCCUAUCAGCUUGUUGGUGGGGUAAUGGCCCACCAAGGCGACGACGGGUAGCCGGCCUGAGAGGGUGGACGGCCACAUUGGGACUGAGACACGGCCCAGACUCCUACGGGAGGCAGCAGUGGGGAAUAUUGCACAAUGGGCGGAAGCCUGAUGCAGCGACGCCGCGUGAGGGAUGACGGCCUUCGGGUUGUAAACCUCUUUCGCUAGGGAAGAAGCCUUCGGGUGACGGUACCUGGAGAAGAAGCACCGGCUAACUACGUG
rnacentral:rRNA from 1 species